rnacentral:rRNA from 1 species
AGAGUUUGAUCCUGGCUCAGGAUGAACGCUGGCGGCGUGCCUAAUACAUGCAAGUCGAACGCGAGCACUUGUGCUCGAGUGGCGAACGGGUGAGUAAUACAUAAGUAACCUGCCCUAGACAGGGGGAUAACUAUUGGAAACGAUAGCUAAGACCGCAUAGGUACGGACACUGCAUGGUGACCGUAUUAAAAGUGCCUCAAAGCACUGGUAGAGGAUGGACUUAUGGCGCAUUAGCUGGUUGGCGGGGUAACGGCCCACCAAGGCGACGAUGCGUAGCCGACCUGAGAGGGUGACCGGCCACACUGGGACUGAGACACGGCCCAGACUCCUACGGGAGGCAGCAGUAGGGAAUUUUCGGCAAUGGGGGAAACCCUGACCGAGCAACGCCGCGUGAAGGAAGAAGGUUUUCGGAUUGUAAACUUCUGUUAUAAAGGAAGAACGGCGGCUACAGGAAAUGGUAGCCGAGUGACGGUACUUUAUUAGAAAGCCACGGCUAACUACGUGCCAGCAGCCGCGGUAAUACGUAGGUGGCAAGCGUUAUCCGGAUUUAUUGGGCGUAAAGCGAGCGCAGGCGGUUUUUUAAGUCUGAUGUGAAAGCCCUCGGCUUAACCGAGGAAGUGCAUCGGAAACUGGGAAACUUGAGUGCAGAAGAGGACAGUGGAACUCCAUGUGUAGCGGUGAAAUGCGUAGAUAUAUGGAAGAACACCAGUGGCGAAGGCGGCUGUCUGGUCUGUAACUGACGCUGAGGCUCGAAAGCAUGGGUAGCGAACAGGAUUAGAUACCCUGGUAGUCCAUGCCGUAAACGAUGAAUGCUAGGUGUUGGAGGGUUUCCGCCCUUCAGUGCCGCAGCUAACGCAUUAAGCAUUCCGCCUGGGGAGUACGACCGCAAGGUUGAAACUCAAAGGAAUUGACGGGGGCCCG